rnacentral:rRNA from 1 species
GACGAACGCUGGCGGCGUGCCUAAUACAUGCAAGUCGAGCGAGUCUGCCUUGAAGAUCGGAGUGCUUGCACUCUGUGAAACAAGAUACAGGCUAGCGGCGGACGGGUGAGUAACACGUGGGUAACCUGCCCAAGAGAUCGGGAUAACACCUGGAAACAGAUGCUAAUACCGGAUAACAACAGAUGAUGCCUAUCAACUGUUUAAAAGAUGGUUCUGCUAUCACUCUUGGAUGGACCUGCGGUGCAUUAGCUAGUUGGUAGGGUAACGGCCUACCAAGGCGAUGAUGCAUAGCCGAGUUGAGAGACUGAUCGGCCACAUUGGGACUGAGACACGGCCCAAACUCCUACGGGAGGCGGCAGUAGGGAAUCUUCCACAAUGGACGCAAGUCUGAUGGAGCAACGCCGCGUGAGUGAAGAAGGGUUUCGGCUCGUAAAGCUCUGUUGUUGGUGAAGAAGGACAGGGGUAGUAACUGACCUUUGUUUGACGGUAAUCAAUUAGAAAGUCACGGCUAACUACGUGCCAGCCGCCGCGGUAAGAC